rnacentral:misc_RNA from 1 species
CACCACUCAAGCCUGGCUUGGUAUUGGGCGCCGCGUCCACCGCGCGCCCUAAUGUCGCCGGCCGAGUCGUCUUGUCUCCGAGCGUUGUGAAUUAUCAAUUCGCUUGUCGGACGGACGGCGCGCGCCGUUAAACCUUUUUUACAGG